rnacentral:rRNA from 1 species
UACGGAGGGUGCAAGCGUUAUCCGGAAUCAUUGGGUUUAAAGGGUCCGCAGGCGGUUUAAUAAGUCAGUGGUGAAAGCCUACAGCUCAACUGUAGAACUGCCAUUGAUACUGUUAGACUUGAAUUCGAUCGGAGUGGGCGGAAUGUGUAGUGUAGCGGUGAAAUGCUUAGAUAUUACACAGAACACCGAUAGCGAAGGCAGCUCACUAGGUCUGGAUUGACGCUCAGGGACGAAAGCGUGGGGAGCAAACAGGAUUAGAUACCCUGGUAGUCCACGCCGUAAACUAUGAUUACUCGUUCUCGGGGUCUAUAGGACUUCGGGGACUAAGCGAAAGUGAUAAGUAAUCCACCUGGGGAGUACGAUCGCAAGGUUGAA